GACGAACGCUGGCGGCGUGCUUAACACAUGCAAGUCGAACGGAAAGGCCCUGCUUUUGUGGGGUGCUCGAGUGGCGAACGGGUGAGUAACACGUGAGUAACCUGCCCUUGACUUUGGGAUAACUUCAGGAAACUGGGGCUAAUACCGGAUAGGAGCUCCUGCUGCAUAGUGGGGGUUGGAAAGUUUCGGCGGUUGGGGAUGGACUCGCGGCUUAUCAGCUUGUUGGUGGGGUAGUGGCUUACCAAGGCUUUGACGGGUAGCCGGCCUGAGAGGGUGACCGGCCACAUUGGGACUGAGAUACGGCCCAGACUCCUACGGGAGGCAGCAGUGGGGAAUAUUGCACAAUGGGCGGAAGCCUGAUGCAGCAACGCCGCGUGCGGGACGACGGCCUUCGGGUUGUAAACCGCUUUCGCCUGUGACGAAGCGUGAGUGACGGUAAUGGGUAAAGAAGCACCGGCUAACUACGUG
rnacentral:rRNA from 1 species